rnacentral:rRNA from 1 species
CAAUAGCGUAUAUUUAAGUUGCUGCAGUUAAAAAGCUCGUAGUUGGAUUUCGGGUGGGAAUGGCCGGUCCGCCGUUUCGGUGUGCACUUGCUACGCCCACCUUGCUGCCGGGGACGUGCUCUUGAGUUCACGCUCGGGACACGGAGUCGGCGAGGUUACUUUGAGUAAAUUAGAGUGUUCAAAGCAGGCCUACGCUCUGAAUACAUUAGCAUGGAAUAACACGAUAGGACUCUGGCCUAUCUUGUUGGUCUGUAGGACCGGAGUAAUGAUUAAGAGGGACAGUCGGGGGCAUUCGUAUUUCAUUGUCAGAGGUGAAAUUCUUGGAUUUAUGAAAGACGAACUUCUGCGAAAGCAUUCGCCAAGGAUGUUUUCAUUAA